rnacentral:rRNA from 1 species
GACGAACGCUGGCGGCGUGCUUAACACAUGCAAGUCGAACGGAAAGGCCCUGCUUUUGUGGGGUGCUCGAGUGGCGAACGGGUGAGUAACACGUGCGUAACCUGCCCUUGACUUUGGGAUAACUUCAGGAAACUGGGGCUAAUACCUGAUAGGAGCUCCUGCUGCAUGGUGGGGGUUGGAAAGUUUCGGCGGUUGGGGAUGGACUCGCGGCUUAUCAGCUUGUUGGUGGGGUAGUGGCUUACCAAGGCUUUGACGGGUAGCCGGCCUGAGAGGGUGACCGGCCACAUUGGGACUGAGAUACGGCCCAGACUCCUACGGGAGGCAGCAGUGGGGAAUAUUGCACAAUGGGCGGAAGCCUGAUGCAGCAACGCCGCGUGCGGGAUGACGGCCUUCGGGUUGUAAACCGCUUUCGCCUGUGACGAAGCGUGAGUGACGGUAAUGGGUAAAGAAGCACCGGCUAACUACGUG